GAGUUUGAUCAUGGCUCAGAUUGAACGCUGGCGGCAGGCCUAACACAUGCAAGUCGAGCGGUAGAGAGAAGCUUGCUUCUCUUGAGAGCGGCGGACGGGUGAGUAAUGCCUAGGAAUCUGCCUGGUAGUGGGGGAUAACGCUCGGAAACGGACGCUAAUACCGCAUACGUCCUACGGGAGAAAGCAGGGGACCUUCGGGCCUUGCGCUAUCAGAUGAGCCUAGGUCGGAUUAGCUAGUUGGUGAGGUAAUGGCUCACCAAGGCGACGAUCCGUAACUGGUCUGAGAGGAUGAUCAGUCACACUGGAACUGAGACACGGUCCAGACUCCUACGGGAGGCAGCAGUGGGGAAUAUUGGACAAUGGGCGAAAGCCUGAUCCAGCCAUGCCGCGUGUGUGAAGAAGGUCUUCGGAUUGUAAAGCACUUUAAGUUGGAGAAGGGCAGUAAUUAAUACUUUGCUGUUUUGACGUUACCGACAGAAUAAGCACCGGCUAACUCUGUGCCAG
rnacentral:rRNA from 1 species